rnacentral:rRNA from 1 species
AUAAUGGGUCAGCGACUUAUAUUCUGUAGCAAGGUUAACCGAAUAGGGGAGCCGAAGGGAAACCGAGUCUUAACUGGGCGUUAAGUUGCAGGGUAUAGACCCGAAACCCGGUGAUCUAGCCAUGGGCAGGUUGAAGGUUGGGUAACACUAACUGGAGGACCGAACCGACUAAUGUUGAAAAAUUAGCGGAUGACUUGUGGCUGGGGGUGAAAGGCCAAUCAAACCGGGAGAUAGCUGGUUCUCCCCGAAAGCUAUUUAGGUAGCGCCUCGUGAAUUCAUCUCCGGGGGUAGAGCACUGUUUCGGCAAGGGGGUCAUCCCGACUUACCAACCCGAUGCAAACUGCGAAUACCGGAGAAUGUUAUCACGGGAGACACACGGCGGGUGCUAACGUCCGUCGUGAAGAGGGAAACAACCCAGACCGCCAGCUAAGGUCCCAAAGUCAUGGUUAAGUGGGAAACGAUGUGGGAAGGCCCAGACAGCCAGGAUGUUGGCUUAGAAGCAGCCAUCAUUUAAAGAAAGCGUAAUAGCUCACUGGUCGAGUCGGCCUGCGCGGAAGAUGUAACGGGGCUAAACCAUGCACCGAAGCUGCGGCAGCGACGCUGAUGCGUUGUUGGGUAGGGGAGCGUUCUGUAAGCCUGCGAAGGUGUGCUGUGAGGCAUGCUGGAGGUAUCAGAAGUGCGAAUGCUGACAUAAGUAACGAUAAAGCGGGUGAAAAGCCCGCUCGCCGGAAGACCAAGGGUUCCUGUCCAACGUUAAUCGGGGCAGGGUGAGUCGACCCCUAAGG